rnacentral:rRNA from 1 species
UACCUGCAGCUCAAGUGGUGAUCAUUACUAUUGGGCCUAAAACGUCCGUAGCCGGUUUAGUAAAUGCCUGGGUAAAUCGUGUAGCUUAACUAUACGACUUCCGGGUAGACUACUAAACUUGAGACCGGGAGAGGCUAGAGGUACUCCUGGGGUAGAGGUGAAAUUCUGUAAUCCUAGGGGGACCACCGGUGGCGAAGGCGUCUAGCUAGAACGGGUCUGACGGUGAGGGACGAAGCCCUGGGGCACAAACCGGAUUAGAUACCCGGGUAGUCCAGGGUGUAAACGCUGCUUGCUUGAUGUUAGUCGGGCUCCGAGCCCGAUUAGUGUCGGAGAGAAGUUGUUAAGCAAGCUGCCUGGGAAGUACGGCCGCAAGACUGAAACUUAAAGGAAUUGGCGGGGAGCACAGCAACGGGUGGAGCGUGCGGUUU